UACGUAGGAGGCAAGCGUUGUCCGGAAUCACUGGGCGUAAAGCGCGUGUAGGCGGAUCGCUAAGUCUGUGGUGAAAGCGCCUGGCUUAACCGGGCGAGGUCCAUGGAAACUAGUGGUCUGGAGGCCGGUAGAGGGGGGUGGAAUUCCGGGUGUAGUGGUGAAAUGCGUAGAGAUCCGGAGGAACACCAGUGGCGAAGGCGGCCCCCUGGGCCGCGCCUGACGCUGAGACGCGAAAGCGCGGGGAGCGAACGGG
rnacentral:rRNA from 1 species